rnacentral:lncRNA from 10 species
GCACUAGAUGAGGGUUCUAGCACCAGUGGUUUACGUGGGAGGUGCAGGGGAUGGAAAUGAGGAAGAGACUCAGGGAAGGGGGACUUAACAGUGAAGCUGUGCUAUGAGCUCAGCACCGCAUGGGCAUCUGCACUGAAUCCCAUGGGAGAAAGAAGCGCCAAGAAACAGUCUAAAACACGUGCCUCAGAAUCAUCCCAUCCAAGUGUGAGGGAGCUGAGGGCCUCAGACACCCACCCUGAGGGCUGAGGGCUGCUCUUGGUGGCUGCUUCUUCAGUAGCCUGCUCCAUCCACAGGCAGAGUGGUCUUCUGCAGUUCUGGGAGGAAAGCCCCAGGCACACAGAUGCAGGUACACACAGGUGGAAGUUUGCUGGAACAAACUGAAGGGUGGGGCUUAUCAUCAAGAAGUCCUUUACACAUCCAUGACUUUCUGUCCAACUCAUAGGAGACUGUGAAGAAAUUACCUUUUCCUUUUUAAAAUGAAGAAACUGAAGUGUAAGAAGAUUGAACACAGCAGGGUCAAAAACAUUAGGAGUAGAUACAGGUGCCCCACACCAUCCUUGACCCCACACACACUUCCAGAAAACAUCAAGCAAGGAGCAGGCAAAGAGCUGUCAUAGGAGUGUGGUUUUUUUAAUACCAUCUGUGCCAAGCAAUAUCAAAGUUGUCCAUACUCUCCAAGUUUGUCCUAUUUUUAAUAGACAAUAUUAAAAAUUUUUUAAGUGUGUGCUGAUAAAGAGACUAGUCACACCUCUGAGGGGAUUUAAAAAUGAGAUUGGAGAAAUGAAUACAGCAGAUGGAACAGAUA